GGGAAAAUGGCGGGAAAGGAGGACAGUAGCAAAAAUACGGCACCGAAUUCGAAAUCGGAGAAAAUGGAGGACGAAAAAUCGGAGGUAUCAUGGAGGAAAGAAGUCGACACGAAUCUCAAGAGGCUCCAUUCUAUGCUAUUUGGAGCAGACGUAGCUCUCAAAAGUAAGGAUUUCAGUUCUGCAACAGUACUUGGACUAGGACUUAUCGGCUUCCUCGAUUCCCAUUCUCAUUCAGACGUCGACGAGGCCUUCAUUCGUCCUAUUCGUCGUGAAGCUCUGUCAAAUUUUGAUUCUGCUCGAAGCUCCCUCAUAACUGAAUCCGAUCGCCAUGCCUUUGAACAAGCAGGGAGAGAUCCAGGCUGCAUAUUUGCCCAAGGAAAAAAUAUUGACAUUGAGAAGAUUAAGCAGUCUAAGUACUUUCUUUCUCUUUGUCAGCAACAUGAAGACACAGCUAAAGGUGAACAGGGAAAUCAAUUAAACAGACAUGCCAAUGUGGGUAGCCGAACCUUGAAAACACCUGCACACACUAGUCCAAGAGAUUUCUCCUUGAUAAAAAAUAGAAGCUUUGCAAAUGAUAGUAGCCCAGAGGUUCUUCCUAUUGAUAGGUUUCACUCAAAGCAUGUGGACAUUAAAGAUGGAGAGGAAGAAAGAACUUGUGUCAAUGGUUCCAAAACAAGACGGUUGUACAGGGAAAGCAGUGGCUCUAGAGAUGAAAACAUUUCAUCCCCCUUGUGCACUGAAGAAGCUGAUGUUGAUGCUUCUCCAAAUGGAUUUGUCACUGCUAGAGCAAAACUGGAAAUGGACACAAGACAUAAGCGAGGGUUGAGUAGAUCACCAAGUGCUUCAAUCUCCCCACAAAACGAUAACACCUUGAUGAACAAAGGCUGUGGAGUCAGGUCCUAUGGUUUUCCACGCCGUGGCAUACGGGGCAAUUUUGUUCCUCCUAUCAGAGGUAGUAGUGGCAAUAAUGUAGGCAAUGUUACUUCACGCACUUCUGGGAAAGGAGAAGAUACACUUGAUGAUUCAACAAGGAGAUGUUUGGAAAUGUUAGUUGGUCCUGAUGGUGAGCUUCCUGAGAAAUUGAGGAAUAUAGAGCCUCGACUUAUUGAGCAUAUCAGCAAUGAGAUUAUGCACCGGGAUCCCAAUGUGCGGUGGAAUGACAUUGCUGGCCUGGAACAUGCUAAAAAAUGUGUGACUGAGAUGGUCAUCUGGCCAUUAUUACGUCCAGACAUAUUCAAAGGCUGCCGAUCUCCAGGUCGAGGUCUUCUUCUGUUUGGUCCACCAGGAACUGGCAAAACAAUGAUAGGGAAAGCUAUUGCUGGAGAGGCAAAAGCAACCUUCUUUUACAUAUCUGCCAGCUCUUUGACAAGCAAGUGGAUUGGAGAGGGGGAGAAGCUGGUGAGGGCACUUUUUGGAGUGGCCAGUUGUCGUCAGCCAGCUGUUAUUUUCGUUGAUGAAAUAGAUUCUCUGUUGUCUCAGCGCAAGUCAGAAGGUGAACAUGAAUCUAGUAGGCGCCUGAAGACACAAUUUCUGAUUGAGAUGGAAGGCUUUGACAAUGUGAGCGAACAGAUUCUUCUUAUAGGUGCAACAAACAGGCCCCAAGAGCUUGAUGAGGCUGCAAGGAGACGGCUUACUAAAAGACUUUAUGUUCCACUUCCUUCCUCAGAAGCACGAGCUUGGAUUGCCAAGAGUCUAUUGGAGAAGGAUGGGUUGUUUAAGCUUUCAGAUGACGAUAUUGUCUCCAUUUGCAAAUUUACGGAAGGGUAUUCUGGGUCUGACAUGAAGAAUUUAGUGAAGGAUGCUUCCAUGGGUCCAUUGAGGGAAGCUCUAAGGCACGGUAUUGAAAUUACAAAGCUAAAGAAGGAGGAUAUGAGGCCAGUAACUCUUCAGGACUUUGAGAGUGCAUUACAAGAGGUAAGGCCUUCUGUGUCUUUGAAUGAACUUGGUGCAUACGAGGACUGGAACAAACAGUUUGGAAGCUUAGCACUUUAAGAGCCAGAGGAAUGAUCACAUCAGAGAAAAUAAUGUAAGUUGCAUGACUUUUACAUUCCUUGCGAGAGUGCUGGCAGAUGAUCCAUGGAUUCUCAUUUCAUGUUCAGCUACACGAGGGAUAUGUAAAUUCGUCUGCUACCUAAAUGACCCAUCCAGAUCAAGAAGAAUCUUCCAUAUGCCAGACAAUUUAGCAUCCUGUGUGUUUUGUCGAGGGGCUGGAGAAGGAAAUACAAAUCAUAAAUAAAAGUGAUAUCAG